ACGUUGUUUAUUAUUGACCUGAUCACACACUGGGUAAUGUUUCGCAAUUGCACCUUUCUCCGAUAAUUUUCUUUUCUUUAUUUUUACGUAUAUUUACGUAUAUUUAUAAAUAUAUAUAUAUAUAUAUAUUGUAUUCUCUGUUUACACGCACCGCCUGUGUUGUGCCUCACACCUCUAUCUCUCUGGUAUGAUCGAUGUGCGUACUAUGUUCUUCUUCUCCUUCACCGUUUCCUACGUCACGACGACCAACCGGUGUCGUCCGCCGUCUUAAUUAAUCCCUCCCCCUCUCCCUCUUUCUCCCUCCUCCUUCUCCUCCCUCCCUCCCACCUUCUCCUCCUCCCCCCGUACACGGGAGCACGGUUUUGCACAUUUUUCGGGCACCUGUUGAUCUCUCUCGUACUACAUAGCCACUUUUCCGCACUCUCUCAAAACUCGUUCGGGGAGUUCGAUGUCACAGCUGCACGCCGAAAUCUCACAGCACGUAGAAAUCACGUAUCCAAUCUCGGGAUGUACUGGCACACGAGCGAGCAAACCCAAACCCGCCUCCCGAACCCGGUAGCGCACAGUUGGACGAGGCUGAGAGAAUCGAGACUGGCUUCGUUCCAUCAUCGUCAUCAUCUUCAUCAUCAUCAUCAUCAUCAUCGACGACAGAAAGGGGAAUCGAGAUCCUUUGAUGUGUCGUUGGGAGGAAUAUUGGGAAACGCGAGUCUGAAACGGAUGUAACUGUAGACGGAUAAAACGUGCAACGACCCGUGGAACGAAACGAGUCGAAAAUUGAUAGAGGGGGAAAUUGAUACUUGUGGUGUUCUUCUAUUGUUUACUUUCUUCUAUCGUCGUCCGCGAGGGAAACGUUCCUCCCGAAGAGUAACGUGCCGCUCGAUGAAAGAACACGGGCCGCCAAGUGGAAAGACAGAAAGAGACAGAACGAAAAUAAUCGAACGCGUUUGAGAAACGUCGUUUUCCCAUGUAACACGGAAGCCUACACGGUUAUCGAUUGAUCGCCGGUCAUCGCUCAUCGUUCGCGUUUUCUUCCCUCGGUCGCGCCCUACAGAGUCGCUUUCUCCCCCGCCCAGCUAACGAAAAGUCGGCCUAAACUCAGCGUCUGGUGCCUUUCGACUUCGGCAAGCAACCGAAGUACGAGACGCGAAGAAUCAGGACAUUCGAUAUACCUAAAUAAAGAAAGAGAAAGAAAAUAAAGAGACAAGACUGGGAGGCGACGACGAGACAAGAAGAA